GGAUACGGCCAUACUGCGCAGAAAGCACCGCUUCCCAUCCUAACAGCGAAGUUAAGCUGCGCCAGGCGGUGUUAGUACUGGGGUGGGCGACCACCCGGGAAUCCACCGUGCCGUAUCCUCCU
rnacentral:rRNA from 1 species